UUAGAGCUCCAGCUGCGAAGAAGACAACUACACUCACGGUCGCUGUGAAAUGUAGACCGUUAAUGGAGAAAGAACGUGGUAGAGACAUUGUUCGUGUGAAUAACUCUAAGGAAGUGAUUGUGUUAGACCCUGACUUAUCGAAAGAUUACCUUGAUCGGAUUCAGAAUCGGACUAAAGAGAAGAAGUAUUGUUUUGAUCAUGCGUUUGGCCCUGA